ACAGGUGGUCAGGUAGAGAAUACUCAGGCGCUUGAGAGAACUCGGGUGAAGGAACUAGGCAAAAUGGUGCCGUAACUUCGGGAGAAGGCACGCUGGCAUUAGGUAAAGGGACUUGCUCCCGGCGCCGAAGCCAGUCGCAGAUACCAGCUGGCUGCAACUGUUUAAUAAAAACACAGCACUGUGCAAACACGAAAGUGGACGUAUACGGUGUGACGCCUGCCCGGUGCUGGAAGGUUAAUUGAUGGGGUCAGCCGCAAGGCGAAGCUCUUGAUCGAAGCCCCAGUAAACGGCGGCCGUAACUAUAACGGUCCUAAGGUAGCGAAAUUCCUUGUCGGGUAAGUUCCGACCUGCACGAAUGGCGUAAUGAUGGCCAGGCUGUCUCCACCCGAGACUCAGUGAAAUUGAACUCGCUGUGAAGAUGCAGUGUACCCGCGGCAAGACGGAAAGACCCCGUGAACCUUUACUAUAGCUUGACACUGAACAUUGAGCCUUGAUGUGUAGGAUAGGUGGGAGGCAUAGAAGUGUGGACGCCAGUCUGCAUGGAGCCAACCUUGAAAUACCACCCUUUAAUGUUU
rnacentral:rRNA from 1 species